rnacentral:lncRNA from 1 species
CUCCACUGUCCUGGAGAAACCCCAACUCUGGAUAAAUCUCAAGUAUCUACGACUUUCUAUACCUUUUUACAGGAAUAAGCAGGGUUAGUCCAAAAUGCAGACAAAAACUUAAAAACAACUGAUGAGACUAGAUUCUAAUAGUAGGUAUAUAAUAAUUUUUGAAAAAUAUUUUUCUCUCUCCAGUCCUCGUGAUUUUUUUAAAAAUUAUGAUAGGACUGAUUUGUUUGGACUGGAGGUCAGGAGAAAAUUCUGAGGUAAAUAGAUGGAUUUUAUCUGGCAGUGUCGAAAAUAGUAGGAGCCUAAAACUUUGUUCAAUGAGUAAGAUGUAGAUUUGGAGUCAUCAGCAGGGGAAACUUGUUAGAUGUCCUUUGUAUCUUUUUCUAUCCAUUUGUAUUUUUUCUUUCCCAAAGAGCUGAAAUCAUUUUAUACCCUGAAUUUAAAAGGUAAUUGCUUUUUUCCUCCUUGCGAAAUCAUACCUUAAUUUUUUUUUUUUUUUUUUUUACCAUUUAUGAUUUAUUCUCCUAUGUGUCAUAUGAAAGGCCAAGGGGCUUUAUCUUUUACUAGUAGGCAAGCCUGGGCAUUUCUGCAUUUGUGCCAGCUAACACUACAAAAUAGACUUAAUUAGAGAAAUUUAGACCCAGAAUUGCAGCUUCAACAACACAAAACAGGAAAGCUAGAAGAGGUUGCUGUGUCAACCUACAAGAUAGUGAUUCUUGGAAGUUGGUAUGGACCAGAAAGCAUUCCCAGGACAUUUAGGCUAUGGCUGAGUUCUCUAAGACUCAGGGUGGGAAUUAUAAUCCCUGGUCUAAGCUGAUAUGAAAGUUUCUAUGUGUGAAAAUAUGGAGUUAUAUGCUUUGAGAUUUUCUGCCAGUUAAACUAAAACAAGAUCAUACUGUAAAUGUUUGUAACUUGCUUCCCCCCACUGUAUACUGUAAACAUCUUUGCAUGUCAAUAAAUAUGCCUCUACAACAUAUUUUUGAAUCACUUAAUAUUUUUCCCAUGUUAACAGUUGGUAUAUAGUGUUGUAAACCUUUAUUGCAUAUUCUCAUAACAUACAAUAUACACAUUCUUUUGCAAAAAUGGGAACACAGUAUUGAGACUUGCCUUUUCCUCUUAACACUUAUCUUUUCAAUUUAGUAUUAUAUAGAUCUGUCACAUGCUUUUUAUCUAAUAACUUUAUAGAAAUAUAAUUGCCAUACAUUAAGCUGCAUGUUGAAAGUAUACAGUGUGAUCAGUUUUGGAAUGUAUAUACACACAAAACCAUAACCACAAUCAAAAUUGUAAAUACAUUCAUCACCCACCAAAGCUACUUUUUUUUUGAGACAGAGUCUUGCUCUGUCACCCAGGCUGGAGUACAGUGGCGCAAUCUCGGCCCACUGCAACCUCUGCUUCCCAGGUUCAAGUGAUUCUCGUGCCUUAGCCUCCUGAGCAGCUGGGACUACAGGUGCAUGCCACCACAUCCGACUAAUUUUUUUUUUUAUUUUUUGUAUUUUUAGUAGAGACAGGGUUUCACCAUGUUGGCCAGGCUGGUCUUGAACUCCUGGUCUCAAGUGAUCUACCCAUCUUGGUCUCCCUGAGUGCCAGGAUUACAGGCGUGAGCCACCAUGCCCAGCCUCCCCCAAAGCUUCUUAAUGCCCUUUUGUAAUCCCUCCCUCCCCUCUCUCCCUGUGCCCCUAACCCAGGCAACCAUGGGACAUUUUCUGACAAAAUAGAAUUGUUUUCAUUUCCUGUAAUUGUGUAUAAAUGGACUCAUAUAGCAUGUACUCUUUGGUCGGGAGGGGAUCUGGCUUAUUUCACUUAGUGUAAUUAUUUGAGAUUCAUCCAUAUCAUGUGUCUCACUAUUUCAUUGCUUUUUAUUGCCAAGUAGUAUUCCACCAUAUGGCUUUACCACAGUUUAUUUAUCCAUUCACUUAUUGAUGGACAUUUGGGCUGUUCAGAGUUUGGCCAUUAUAAGUAAAGCAGCUAUGAGCAUUUGUGUACAAGUGUUUUUAUGGACAUAGGCUUUCAUAUC